AUAAGGUGGCUGAGGUAUAGGCGUUAGAUUGUAAAUCUAAAUAGGGACGAAAAGUUUUCUUAUUAG
rnacentral:tRNA from 1 species